rnacentral:rRNA from 1 species
UCGAACGGCAGCACAGGUAGCAAUACCGGGUGGCGAGUGGCGGACGGGUGAGUAAUGCAUCGGGAUCUACCCAAACGUGGGGGAUAACGUAGGGAAACUUACGCUAAUACCGCAUACGUCCCAUGGGAGAAAGCGGGGGCUCGCAAGACCUCGCGCGGUUGGACGAACCGAUGUGCGAUUAGCUAGUUGGCGGGGUAAUGGCCCACCAAGGCGACGAUCGCUAGCUGGUCUGAGAGGAUGAUCAGCCACACUGGGACUGAGACACGGCCCAGACUCCUACGGGAGGCAGCAGUGGGGAAUAUUGGACAAUGGGCGAAAGCCUGAUCCAGCAAUGCCGCGUGAGUGAUGAAGGCCUUAGGGUUGUAAAGCUCUUUUACCCGGGAUGAUAAUGACAGUACCGGGAGAAUAAGCUCCGGCUAACUCCGUGCCAGCAGCCGCGGUAAU